rnacentral:lncRNA from 1 species
AUUUUCAUGUAAUUAUUUAAAACCAAACCUAUGCCUUUUCUUGUAAGCUAAUUUCUUGAUUGUUCUUGUUUCAGAAGUUGCUGGGAGUAAGGAUUCCCUACUGGAAUUUUCUGAAGAUGAAGAAAUGCUCAUGGCAAGAAUGUUCAAUCUGCUUGGACCAAGGUUAGUUUGCAAUCAAAUCACUGUGUGUGAUUUUUAUCCUUAAAAGCUGUUUCAUCCGUUGGUGUUCGCGUUCGAGAGAGAGAGGGACGGGAGAGAGAGUUGGGUUUUUGAUGUGUUUGUUUGGAGCAGGUGGACUUUAAUUGCUGGAAGAAUACCAGGAAGAACAGCAGAAGAGAUUGAGAAGUACUGGAAUUCAAAGGCUUUGGCUAAAGAUAACAAACAUUUGGAUCUCAAGUUUCAACAGUCCACAAAUGAUAUGUAGAUACAUAUGUCGUGUUCUUAUGAACCUAUUAUAAUUAUGUCUUGUAUAAUAUGUAAGGUAGUCGUCGUUAUUAAGUCUUAAUUGGAUCAAAUUACUCGUUAGAAUUUAAUAAGAUCUGAUAUCAUAUUAAAACUCGGGAUUUCAUCUUAAAAGAUCAAUCUGAUUAAGAGAAGCAGUCCAAGUUCUUAUUAGUUAGUCUAUAUUUUCAUUUGUAUUCAAUGUGAAAUUUUAUCCCUUAAGAGUCGAAAAUGGAAUUACUGUCAAUUGUAAGUUUCUACGUUAAUAUUUUCAUUUAUUUUUCAGCAAUUGAAUCUGGUGUGGAAAAAUCCCUGCUUUUAUUUGAA